UUCAAGAUUCGUCUACGUCACCAUGAGUUAAAAUUUAACUCGCAGAUUCACUCAUGAGUUAAAAUUUUAUUGGGAGUUAAAUUUUAACUCACGGUGACGUGGACGAAUCUCGGA
rnacentral:pre_miRNA from 1 species